CCCGACGACAAGAGUGCUGCGGUCCUACCUGACCCCAUACCGAACUCAGAAGUAAAACGCAGUAACGUCGAUGGUAGUGUGGUGAUUCGCCAUGUGAGAGUAGAGCAUCGUCGGGU
rnacentral:rRNA from 1 species